GAGAAGAGCCAAGAAAGCGAGCAGCAGCAACUUGUCACCCCUCCUGACCUGCGGAGAUGAACAGCCUGCGUGUGUCCCUGCCCCGGUACUUGGUGGCAAGUUGGAAGACUUGAACAAUUUCUUAUGUUUUCAAGUGUUUGCAGGCACAAUUUGUGGGAUGUGAAGACAGAGGUACAUGUCGUUGGUUGUGAGGGCCUAACCUGUGGGGCUCAAUUCAUCCAAAUAUCAUGUGUUUGUUCAUCUAAAAGAAAAAAGCCCAGGGCAAAGCACCAGUGGCAAAGUGGAUACAGCUCUGGGUCUGGAGGCAGGAAGAGUUGACUUCAAAUUUGGGUUCAGAUACUUUCUAUCUGUAUGACUCUGGUACAAGAUAAGAAGCCAUAAAGAGAGAAUAAUGAGUUUUACCCUAAGCCUUGGGUUCCUGAGAACACCUGCAAGCAGUGGGACGGGUGCCUUCCUUGAACAGUCCAUCAUUGUGAGCUCCCUAGGGGACAUAUGCAAAUGAUGGCUGGGGGGCUGUGAGUUUAGGCCAGGCUGAAUUGUGCCUAUGACAAGGUCUUCCCUUUUGGUGAAUUGCUGCCCUGGAUUAAAGGACUUGGCAGUUGGAAUUUUUUUUUCAGGAGUCUGUAGGGUGGUCGGUCUGAAUAGGCCUUGAAUGGCCUGGAGGAAUUCUCUUAAUGGAAUUUUGCCUCUUGCUGGGAGGGUGCUUGUAUCCCAGAGGAAGCUAAAGGGAUUCAGCCAGUAUCUUUCUCCUCUGGGUCUUUUCUCCUCAAAAUAAAUAGAUCAAUAAGUGACUAUUGCCAGCAAAGAAGGCAGUACUGGUUUUCAGCCUCCCACAGGAGAGCUUUCCCCCAAUGGGAAGCCAGUCAGAAAGCUUUUUUUGACUAUGUGCUUUGUUUUUUCCAUUGCUGGAGUGUAUCUCGUGCAGCAGCUUCUUUUUCUUGCCAGGAGAAUUUGCAGAGAUCUGCAGCUACACGCAUGGCUAAAAGCUAGAUACACUUUGGCCAAAGUCAAAGCACAUCCCAGCUAGGAGAGCACAUUUAGAACAAAAACAUGUGAAAACUAUCUUUGCACAUAUUUUGAAAAUAAAAAGCUAUUAUUUUUUUAAAAAAUUAUACAUUUUGAGUCCCAAUUACAUUCUAAUAUCAUUGGAGAAAGUUUCCACGAGGAGAUGCUUAAUGUGUUUUUACAGAGCCUAAAGUAAAGUUUUUGGUUGAUAUUGAAAAUUUUUGUUCUUUGCUUUGUCUUAACUUUUUUGACCUUUACUUUUAAUUAUUAGUGGGAAUUUAGAAUUUCUGAUCCACUUUUGUUUUCCAGAUUCUAUUACAUAUGUUUCUUUUUCAUUGUCUUUAAUUGGGCAAUGUGAUAUACUUUAAUCUUUCAAUAUCUAUCAGUCAAUAAAAAUAUAUUGAAUACUUAAAAAAAAAACCAUGCAAGGUCUUUUUGUUUAUUUACUCAUUUAAACCAAAGAACUACAUGGAUUUCAGUCAAUCAGCUUUUUAUACACUCAAGUAAUUUUCAUUCUUGCCCCCUUAUUCCUGUAUAGACUUUGCAACCACUCUUGAAUGCAUGGUGACAGCAACUUCCUUGGUAUAUGUGCCUUUAUUAAUAAAGUCCAUCAGGAGAGUUUUUGGCCUGAUCUCUCAAAGUUUUUCUUUUUUUUUUUUUUUCCUUGUUUGUCUACUGGUAGCUAAGAAAGUCCUCCUGUGAAUUAGACUGAGAGUUCUGGUCAUAUAGACCUUCCACAGAGGUGGGCACUGUAAGAACAAAAGACAUCCACAGAUGCAGACCCAGAUUUGAGAAAACUGAUUCUAAACCCAGGUAUGAAUCUUUCUGCUGCCUGUAGAGAUGACCCCUGAGCUGUACAAGUAUUCCUUUCCCCAUUCCCAUAGCUAUAGUUUACAAAAAACUAACCCUUGGCCCUUUUUCUCUCCCCUUUAAAAAUUAGCCCCAAAGUCAAUAUUGCAGCAUCUGACAAAUUGCUGUGACUCAUGUCAUACCUAAUCCCACAGCCUCCAUUCUAGCUGCCCUAUGAUGCUUGCUGUUGGGAGCCCUGCAUGUCAAAACCAGCCCCAGCCAUUCAUGGUGUCUGCACAGUGUAAUUGCAUAGUGAACCAACGUCUACCCCAGUGGUGGAGCUUAAGCAAAAGGCUCACUUGGUUUCUGUUUUGCUUGUAACAUAUGCAUUUAUUAUAAUUAUAGGACGUCAUCAAGGACUUCUCCUCCCCCCCAUCCCUUCUAUUUGUCUGGUUAUUAGCUACAGUUUAACUCCCUCUAUUAUAGUAUGAAGAGUUUUACUCUUGGAAGCAGAAAAUCUGGGGCUCGUAUUCUGCCUCAUUAUUUGAACUCAGUGACUACUUCUUAAGUUCCUGCUAUGCACUGGGCAAGGGUUUGUGUGCCAAAGAUCCAGAGACAGCAAAACAACCCCUGCCAGGACACUUAUAUAAUACAAAAAUAAAUAAAAAGCAAUCCACUAGGAGAUUAUAAUCCACUAAAUAAAUAAAAAAGGGAUUUCCAGGGGAGGGAAUAGCACUAAAAAUAUUACUUGGAGCUAGGUGGUACAAUGGAUAGAACACUUGGCAUUACAAUAUAUAAAUUCAAAUCUGACCUCCCCGUUGCCGUAAAAAAAAAAAAAAAAAAAAAGGAACAAAGAGAAAUAGAAGUUCUAAGAGCUGGAGGCUAGGAUGAACAACAUUCCAAGUGUGAAGAGAACAGGAGAAGACACAAAGGUAAUGUGUGUGCCCAAUUCACCUGACUUCCAUGAACUUCAGUUUCUUCAUAUUUGAAAUGAACACAAGAAUAGCUAAAGCCCUUCACUCACAGGCUAUUCUGAGGAUUAAAUGAGAUAAUAUGCAAACAUAAAGAAUUUCACAUACUUUGAAGCACUCUUUGAAUGCCAGUUUUUAUUUCAUGUGUUUCAGUGUUGACUGUAUUUGUUGAAAAUUUCAGCUGUUUAAAAGCAUGUGUGACUUGAUAUACUGAAGGGGUAUGUAGGGGGAAGAGACCCAAACACCAACUCUCCAAUUCCACCUCCAAAAUUUUUCUGGAAAGAACAGGUGCUGUUACUUAUCACCCCGAUGACUCUGGAAAGGUGCUCAGCUUUCCCAACACCCCCAUCAUCAUUUAUAAAGUGUGUUAGAAGGAAGAGCAAGAUGAUACGAUGAUCAAUUCUGAUGAAUGUGGCUCUCUUCAACAAUAAGAUGAUUCAAGCUAGUUCCAGUGGUCAUGUGAGGAAGAGAGACAUCUAUACCCAGAGAGAAGACUGUGGGAGCUGAGGGUGAAUCACAACAUAGCAUUUUCACUCUUUUUGUUGUUGCUUUUUAUUUGUUUUUUUCCUCAUUUUUUUUCCUUUUUGAUCUGAUUUUUUCUUGUGCAACAUGAUAUUUGUGGAAAUAUGUAUAGAAGAAUAGCACAUGUUUAAUAUAUAUUGGAUUAUUUGCCAUCUUGGGGAGGAGGUGGGUGAAGGGAAGGGGAAAAUUUGGAAAUUUGGAAAAAGUUUUGCAAGGGUGAAUGUUGAAAAUUUUCUAGGCAUAUAUUUUGAAAAUAAAAAGCUUUAAUAAAAAUAAAUAAAUAAAAAUGAGGUCUUAGGCUACAUGGUCUCUAAGGUCCUUUUCAGCUCUAAAUCUAUUAAAUUAUAACUUGGUGCCAAUCCCAGUCAUACAUUCUCUCUCUCUUUCCCUUUAUCAUAGAGCCAUCAUGAUGUUCAUGUUCUUGGGUCAGUGUCAUGAUGGAAGAACAUUUGUAAGUUCCGGAUGAAAUAUGGGCUCUGUGUUUAAUGGGGAGAGAAUUGGAUAUGGAAUCAGAGGUCCUGGACUUGAAUCCUCCACCCUAUCCCACCCCCGAAUCACUGCAGCCUGCAGAUUUUUCAAAAAAUGGGACAGAAAAGGCAGAAAAGGAACAUAACCAGGAACCAAGGACUCUGCUGUGAUCUUUAGGCUAUGGAAAGAUGAGGAAGUCCUUUGAGAACACAUGCCAAGGCCAUAGUGCACUCUGAUACCAGAUUUUUAUCAUGCCUUCAAUUAGUGGCCAUUCUGGAUCAGUCAGUCAACAAACAUUUAGUAAGCGAUUGCUGUUGCCAGCUACUGUGUUAAGUGCUAAAGACACAAACUGGAAAUAUAAAAGAGACAAAAAUUUAGCCUUCUGUCUUAUUCUAAUGUGAAAAUUACUAUAUGUUCAUAAUAGGUAGAAGCUCCUACCAGGAGUAUCCUAGAAAAUGUUGGUUUUU